UUUUUAAUGUGAUUAAUGAUGAAAAGCGGAUUUGAAAGUAAAAUGAUUAAAGAGUAAUUUAAUGAAUAAAGAUUCUAAAAUAUGUACACAUUGCCCGUCACUCUUGCUUAAGGUAAGACAAGUCGUAACAUAGUAGAUGUACCGGAAGGUGUAUCUGGAAUGGGAGUAAAUAGCURAGGAUUUAAGUAUAUUAUUUACACCAAUAUGAUAUUUAUAUAAUUUUACUUUUAAUUUAAUUAUUUAAGGAGAAUAAAGUUAGUAAAUUAUAAGAAAUUUAUCUGUGAAGGGGAGAUCACAUUUAAAUUUCUUAUAAUGUAAAACUACUUUACCUUUUGUAUCAGGGUUAAUUUAAACUUAAUUUUAUAUUUAAUUUUCUCGAAAUGGAAAGAUUUAGGUUAAUUUAAUUUUAAUAUUUAAAAAUUAAGAUAGAAAUUAUCUUAGGUUUGAUAUAAAUUUAGCUUUCUUAUAUCUAGUUUCUUUAUAGUUUGAUUUAAUCAAUUUAAUUUCUGAAUCUAUUGGUUGUAGUAAUAAAUUAUAGUUAUGGGGAUAAUCUUGUAAUUUAUUUUAUAGCUUAGGAAUUUAUUGUUUAUUUUUUAGGCUUAGAAUUWGCUUUUGUGUGUAAAAAUUAUAUUAAUAAUUUAAUAAUAUUUUAAAAUAGCUUUAUNNNGAUGUAAMRUUGUUCCRUUAWAUAAACUAAUUUUMUUAAAAAUGMCUGAAKUAGUAGAAARUWYAAAUASUAGUYAAGAAYUCAGCAACUUUWCCUUYCGUUUGUUUAUCAAAAACA
rnacentral:rRNA from 1 species